UACGUAGGGUGCGAGCGUUAAUCGGAAUUACUGGGCGUAAAGCGUGCGCAGGCGGUUUUGUAAGACAGGCGUGAAAUCCCCGGGCUCAACCUGGGAACUGCGCUUGUGACUGCAAGGCUAGAGUACGGCAGAGGGGGGUGGAAUUCCACGUGUAGCAGUGAAAUGCGUAGAGAUCGGGAGGAACAUCAGUUGCGAAGGCGGCUCUCUGGACCAGCACUGACACUGAGGCACGAAAGCGUGGGGAGCAAACAGG
rnacentral:rRNA from 1 species